CCCUAAAUCUUAAUNUUUCCCCUACCGAAGUAUUCGCCUGAGAACUACGAGCAUAAACGCUUAAAACUCUAAGGACUUGGCGGUGCCCCAAACCCACCUAGAGGAGCCUGUUCUAUAAUCGAUAACCCACGCUACACCCCACCACCCUUCGCCAAAGCAGCCUACAUACCGCCGUCGCCAGCCCACCUCCCUUGAGANNCCAACAGUGGGCCCAAUAGCUCCCUCGCUAAUAAGACAGGUCAAGGUAUAGCCCAUAGGGUGGAAGAAAUGGGCUACAUUUUCUAAAAUAGAAAACUACGAAAGGAGGCAUGAAACAACCUCCGGAAGGCGGAUUUAGCAGUAAAACGGGACAAUAAGGCNNNN
rnacentral:rRNA from 1 species